rfam:Chlorocebus sabaeus isolate 1994-021 chromosome 21, whole genome shotgun sequence.
GCCAGGUAUGGUGGUGCAUGCCUGUAAUCCCAGCUACUUGGGAGGCUGAGGCAAGAGAAUCACUUGAACCUGGGAGCUGGAGGUUGCAGUGAGCCAAGAUCAUGCCAAUGCACUCCAGCCUGGGCAACAGAGUGAGACUUUGUCUCAA